AAACGUAAGAGUUUGAUCCUGGCUCAGAAUGAACGCUAGCCAUAGGCCUAACACAUGCAAGUCGAACGCUUCUGACAAGAAGAGUGGCAAACGGGUGAGUAACACGUAGGAAUCUACCCAACAGCUCGGGGAAAUAGUAUUAUCUAUGAAUCCCGAAUAAAAAAACUAAGUGUUGUUAUUGGAUGAGCCUGCGGAGGAUUAGGUAGUUGGUGAGGUAAAAGCUCACCAAGCCGAUGAUCCUUAGCUGGUCUGAGAGGACGAUCAGCCACACUGGGACUGAGAAGGGCCCAGACUUCUACGGAAGGCAGCAGUGGGGAAUCUUGGACAAUGGGCGAAAGCCUGAUCCAGCUAUAUGGCGUGAGUGAUGAAGGCAAUUUCUGUUGUAAAGCUCUUUCAUUGAGAACGAAUUAUGAUGUAACUCAAAGAAGAAGCCCCGGCUAACUCCGUGCCAGCAGCCGCGGUAAUACGGGGGGGGCUAGUGUGGUUCAGCAUGACUGGGCGUAAAGGGCACGUAGGCUGUUAAUUACGUUGGAAGCCAAAGCCUCAGGAAACCCCUGAGAACGUCUUUCAAAACGGAUUAACUCGAGAUAUAAAGAGGAAAGCGGAAUUUCAAAUGGAGAGGUUGAAUUCGUAGAUAUUUGAAGGAAGGCCAAAGGCGAAGGCAGCUUUCUGGUUAUAAUCUGACGCUGAGGUGCGAAAGCAUGGGGAGCAACCAGGAUUAGAUACCCUGUUAGUCCAUGCCCUAAACGAUGAGUGUUCGUGACUUGAUUUUUUAUUGGGUCACCAAGCUAACGCGUGAAACACUCCGCCUGGGGAGUACGGUCGCAAGGCUAAAACUCAAAGGAAUUGACGGGGGCCCAUACAAGCGGUGGAGCAUGUGGUUUAAUUCGAAACAACGCGCAAAACCUUACCAGCUCUUGGUAUUUUUUUAAGUUUCUUGUAAUGAUAGAAACGAUCUUUUGGAAAAAACAGGCGUUGCAUGGCUGUCGUCAGCUCGUGUCGUGAGAUGUUUGGUUCAGUCCUAUAACGAGCGAAACCCUUCGACAAUGUUGCUAUGAAUCUUAGAGAAUUCAGCACUCUUUGUUGACUGCCCGUGAUAGACGGGAGGAAGGCGAGGAUGACGUCAAGUCCGCAUGACCCUAAUGAGCUGGGCUACACACGUGCUACAAUGGCGAAGACAAAAGGAAGCAAUGACGUAAGUCGGAGCAAAUCCACAAAAAUCGUCGUAGUUCGGAUUGUUCUCUGCAACUCGAGAACAUGAAGCUGGAAUCGCUAGUAAUCGUGGAUCAGCAUGCCACGGUGAAUUGGUACCUGGGCCUUGUACAUACCGCCCGUCACACCCUGGGAAUUUUUUUGGCCCGAAGGUAACUACACAAAUUUUUUCAUGAUAGAUUCACUUGUGGAUUUAUGGUGCGAAUUUUUAUUAUGUUUCCCACGGUCGAGGAAGUGACUGAGGUGAAGUCGUAACAAGGUAGUCGUAGGGGAACCUGCGGCUGGAAUAUAUCCUUU
rnacentral:rRNA from 1 species